GACGAACGCUGGCGGCGUGCCUAAUACAUGCAAGUCGAGCGAGCUGAAUUCAAAGAUCCCUUCGGGGUGAUUUGUUGGAUGCUAGCGGCGGAUGGGUGAGUAACACGUGGGCAAUCUGCCCUAAAGACUGGGAUACCACUUGGAAACAGGUGCUAAUACCGGAUAACAACAUGAAUCGCAUGAUUCAAGUUUGAAAGGCGGCGCAAGCUGUCACUUUAGGAUGAGCCCGCGGCGCAUUAGCUAGUUGGUGGGGUAAAGGCCUACCAAGGCAAUGAUGCGUAGCCGAGUUGAGAGACUGAUCGGCCACAUUGGGACUGAGACACGGCCCAAACUCCUACGGGAGGCAGCAGUAGGGAAUCUUGCACAAUGGGCGAAAGCCUGAUGCAGCGACGCCGCGUGCGGGAUGAAGGCCUUCGGGUUGUAAACCGCUUUCAGCAGGGACGAGGCGAAAGUGACGGUACCUGCAGAAGAAGCCCCGGCUAACUACGUGCCAGCAGCCGCGGUAAUACGUAGGGGGCAAGCGUUAUCCGGAUUCAUUGGGCGUAAAGCGCUCGUAGGCGGUCUGUUAGGUCGGGAGUUAAAUCCGGGGGCUCAACCCCCGUUCGCUCCCGAUACCGGCAGACUUGAGUUUGGUAGGGGAAGGUGGAAUUCCUAGUGUAGCGGUGGAAUGCGCAGAUAUUAGGAAGAACACCAGUGGCGAAGGCGGCCUUCUGGGCCAUAACUGACGCUGAGGAGCGAAAGCUAGGGGAGCAAACAGG
rnacentral:rRNA from 1 species